rnacentral:rRNA from 1 species
UGCAUCCAGUUGCCAUCGGGCGAGCGGGCACUCUGGAGGGACUGCCGGCGACAAGCCGGAGGAAGGUGGGGAUGACGUCAAGUCAUCAUGGCCCUUAUAUCCAGGGCGACACACGUGCUACAAUGGCCGGCACAGCGGGAAGCGGAGGGGCGACCCUGAGCGGAUCCCUUGAAAGCCGGUCCCAGUUCGGAUUGCAGUCUGCAACUCGACUGCAUGAAGUUGGAAUCGCUAGUAAUCGCGGAUCAGCCAAGCCGCGGUGAAUACGUUCCCGGGCCUU